GAACAAACUGCCCAGAGGGCCGCUGAGUCAUCCAGCCCCUCCUCUCCUUUCCCUCCCAGAACUGAGGAUCAGAGAAUUCAGGGCUGGAAGGAAGGUCUUGGGGCCAAAGCCUUGGUCUUUCGAAGGUAGUUCUUGCAUGUGGAGUGGUGGAAUGGGGUCUGGAGUUUGGGCCACACUGAGAUGCCAUUUCUCUGAUCAUCAUACCUGAUGCACAAUCCAAGGAGACGGCCCAGGGUCAUCUCUUCUGCCUGAAUAGCUGAGAGGAGUCCUGCAAUCUUAGAGCCAUUUUCCCAAGAAACCUGACCUAGAACAUACUCUCUCUUAAGAUUCAAAUAAACUGUUGUCAAGAACUGUAAAAGGUCUGAGAUUUUUAUCCUAC
rnacentral:lncRNA from 1 species